rnacentral:rRNA from 1 species
GGAAUUUUCCGCAAUGGGCGAAAGCCUGACGGAGCAAGACCGCGUGAGGGAUGAAGGCCUUUGGGUUGUAAACCUCUUUUCUCAGGGAUUUCCGCAAUGGGAUUAGAUACCCCAGUAGUCAUGGGGAAUUUUCCGCCAAGGGACCACAGUAACCACGGAGGCAUGGGGCGUUUUCCGGAAUUAUUGGGCGUAAAGCGUCCGCAGGUGGCUUUCCAAGUCUGCCGUCAAAGCCCGAGGCUUAACCUCGGAUCGGCGGUGGAAACUGGAUCGCUAAAGUGCGUCAGGGGUAGGGGGAAUUCCCGGUGUACCGGUGAAAUGCGUAAAUAUCGGAAAAAACACCAGUGACGAAAGUGCCCUACUGGGACGUUACUGACACUCAUGGACGAAAGCUAGGGGAGCGAAAGGGAUUAAAUACCCCAGUA